UAGUUAUCAAGAAAGGUGGAGGGAAUAGACCCUUUGAAACCUUAGCAACCCUUUGUUCUUAUUUUGAACAAUGAAGGUGCUAAAUUCUACCAAAAAUUGCAGUAAUGCAUUGGCGGCAGAUAACGA
rnacentral:ncRNA from 2 species